GCACUAGAUACUCAUUGGAGCAUGAACCCUGUUGUGAACUGCUCAUCUGAGGGAUCUAGGUUGUGUGCUUCAUAUGAGAAUCUAAUGCCUGAUGAUAUGUCACUGUCUCACUUUGCCCCCAGAUGAGACCAUCUAGUUGCAGAAAAAUAAGCUCAGAGUUUCCACGGAUUCUACAUUAUGACAGGUACUCACUUAGUGCUCAAGCCGGCGUGCAGUGGCAUGUUCUUGGCUCACUGUAGCCUCUGCCUCCGCCUCCCAGGUUCAAAGGAUUCCCCUGCCUUAGCCACCGGAGAAGCCGGUGUGGGAUUACAGUGUACCUUGAAAACUUUUAUUGAAGAAGGAAUGAAAUAUUGCAUUUUCAAAGACGGCCCUCACUGGGUGCCGGAGAUCCACUAGAAUACAAGAUCUGUUUCUGUGUCUUUGAGGGACAUGUAUCCAGCAAUUAGUUACAUCAGUCCCUUGUAGAUGUCAAUUCCAGUGUCACAAAUUUCUUGUUUUGCAACGUUGAGCAAGUUUUUUUCAAUGUUUCUAAGCCUCAGUUUUUUGCCCUACAAAAUGUGGUAAUAAUAUUUAACCAUUAGUAAUGUUGUGAAAAUUAAGCAAAAAUACAUGUAAUAUAUUUAACAAUGCUUGGUGUUCGUUAAUGCUUUAAUAUAUGCUAACUACUUAUAUUAUUGUUGUUGUUGUGUUAAACAUGCAUAAGACAGCAGGUACUAGAAUGGAAAUAAGGGUUCUUACUUGAAAUUAAAUGGCAGAAUUUCAUACUGUAAUAGGAUGUAUCAAUUUACCUGGUAUUAAUUAUUGUUAAAAUACUGGAUUUUUGUCAAUUAUUAUUAGUCUUUGACGCAUUUCUGUAGCUAGCAUUGUCCUUUGUAUGUGUUGGCCUUUGCAUAUUUUUCCAAAGAAGUAUUAUAUACUUUUGGGGUUUCUUAUUUUGAAUUGAAGAAUAUGCCAAGAUUGCAUAAAAGGAAAAAUAAUACACUAUGUUCAAUAGGUCAAUGUCUUGUUUUUUUUUCACAGCA
rnacentral:lncRNA from 10 species